GGAUUGUGGCUCAGAGGAAAAGUGCUUGCCUCGCAUGCGUGAGGCACUCGGUUCGAUCCUCAGCACCA
rnacentral:tRNA from 1 species